rnacentral:rRNA from 1 species
GUGGGGAAUUUUGGACAAUGGGCGCAAGCCUGAUCCAGCCAUGCCGCGUGCAGGAUGAAGGCCUUCGGGUUGUAAACUGCUUUUGUACGGAACGAAAAAGCUCUCUCUAAUACAGGGGGUGAAUGACGGUACCGUAAGAAUAAGCACCGGCUAACUACGUGCCAGCAGCCGCGGUAAUACGUAGGGUGCAAGCGUUAAUCGGAAUUACUGGGCGUAAAGCGUGCGCAGGCGGUUAUGUAAGACAGAGGUGAAAUCCCCGGGCUCAACCUGGGAACUGCCUUUGUGACUGCAUAGCUGGAGUGCGGCAGAGGGGGAUGGAAUUCCGCGUGUAGCAGUGAAAUGCGUAGAUAUGCGGAGGAACACCGAUGGCGAAGGCAAUCCCCUGGACCUGUACUGACGCUCAUGCACGAAAGCGUGGGGAGCAAACAGGAUUAGAAACCCUGGUAGUCC